ACUUGGGAUAGCUCAGUUGAUAAGAGAAUGCGACUCCUAAUCUCAGGGUUGUGGGUUUGAGACCCAUACUGGGCA